rnacentral:lncRNA from 1 species
UGCAUUCUAUUUAUUACAAAUUUAAAAAUUAAAUUUAAUACACACAUUUUAAUAAAAAAAAUACUACUAUAUUUGAUUUUUGGCAAAUGCUAACAUGUGCUCAAGAAGGAUACAGAGUUGUUAAGAUAAAGUAUAGAUAUUGAGUGAGCUUAAUAAUUUAUGGAAUUGGACUCGAUCACAUUGGCACAUCUGAGGGACAAAGUCAAGCUUUAUUCCUUGUAACGCUGGUACACAGAUAGAAAUUAACUUCUGCGCAAUAUGAAUUUCAAAACAAUGAUGAUUCAAGAAUAAAUAUUAGAAAAGAUCUUAAGAUUGAAUCUUUAUCGGCAAGUGAGCACAAAAUCAACUUAGAGAAGAAGGAACAAAUUAGAUCAAGGUCAUUUAUAAUGAAUAACACACAUAUUGAUGGCGGAACAUACAAAAAACUGGCUCAUAUACGGCUGUGUUUAGUAACACAAACAAGUUAGAUUAUAAUUUGUUGGACUAGCUUAUAAGCUUGUUUUGAUAGAAUGUGAUGUGUUUGAUAAAAAGUUUUUUCACUAGUUUAUAGCGUUUUUUAAGAAGCUAAUCCAAGUAGCUUUUGAGCUUGUAGCUUAUAACUUUUUAUACUUUCUUCCAAUUUUAACCUUUUCUUAAUUUGAUUUUAUAUUUUUAUUAUAGAAAAAACUACCCAUGUUCUUCUGUGCGCUACCCACGUUUACCAAAUUAGGGCAUGGCUUUUUAAAUUUUCUUCUUCACUUUUUUGUUUUUUUAUCUUGCUCAUAAUUUAUAUAAUAUUUAAUUUUAAAAAUUUUAAUUUAUUGAAGAAAGUUUAGUUAAAUUAAAUUCAUAAAAAAAUCAAAGUUUUUAAAUAAAAAAAGCGAUUGAAUUCAUAAAUACAUUUAUCAUUUUGGAGAUGAAAAUAAUUUGAAAUAUAUUUAAAUAUUUAAAAAUAAAUGUGUUAAGUAAUAAAAAUUAUAUAUAUGAUAUUAAAAAAAUUAAACAAGCAUGUCCUUUUAUGUCAUUUUAUAUUUAUCAGCCACUUAACAGCUAAUUUUACCAAACACUUUUAAUUUUAAUAAGCCAACUUUUCAGCUAUCAGCUAUCAGCCAUCAGCCAUCAGCUAGCUUAAUAUUUAUUAAAUAUCUAAUGUAUUUAGUUUAUAUUAUUGACCAAUACAAUAGAUAUUCAAUCCAUCUAAAAUAUAGUUUUUUAUUUAUAAAUGUAACCCAGGAAAAUAGAUAACACGGAUGUGAAUUCACCACAAUUUAUCAAGCUUAAUGGUUGUAAUUUGAAGAUAGAUAGUCCAAAAUUCAGACCAAUAAAUAAUUGGACAUAUUCCUCCUUCUUAGUUAAGGCAAAUUCUAUGGUACAAUCAAUAUAUUUGAGUGUACCGGUACACACCCACUCUUUAAAUUAAUAGUUAAAUAAGUCGUUUUUUGAAGAAAAAUAUUAUUUUUUAUCAUUUAUAAUUAUAAUAACUAAAUCUUAUUCAUAAAAAAUGUCAACAAAAUAAAAUUAUUAUUUUUUGAAUUUUUAUCACUCAUAAUCGAGAACAUUCAUUAUUUUUUAUGAUAAUAUGUAAAAAAAAUUACUAUAAUUCUUAUAAACAAUGAAAUGGUGUUUUUUCUUAUGAGAUGAUGUUCUAUAAAUAAAUUUUGACAAAUAGCUAUUAAUUACAUAAAAAAUUAUCGUUAAUUAUAAAAUUAUGAAGCAAGAGUACCGAUACACCUCACUUUAUGAGUGUACCGUAGAAGUUUCCCUGUUAAUCAUACACAUUUAAAUUACCAUUGAAUUAUUAUGGAUGUGAGACUUUUGUUUUUUCCACCUAAACCUUAUGCAAACCAAACAGACUAUAAAUCAGUACGUACCAAGCCAUUUUUAAUGGAGUGCAAAAAUAUAAAUAUCUUAAUUGAGGCAAAGCAAAUAUUAUAUUUUCUUUUUGGGUGGGAGGCAAAUAUAUAUUACUAGUCCUUUUAAUUUAAAGUAAAUAUUAUAUAUAUAUGAUCGUUAUAUUACUAUCCGUUAUGUAUUCAGAUACAUACCGGUAUGGAAAAUAAAGAUACAGAACCUCACUACAAAAGUCACGUACAGUGCAUCAUAAUUACUACUUAAAUGUACAACCAUAUGCAACACAUUUAUCCUCUAUAUAUAACGUCGCUCUCCUAGAUGUUUUCUAUCAUUGAACAAUUUAUUGGUUGUGUCUUACAUUGUCUUUUAUUUGACUAUCUUUGUGCAAUAAAUCUCCCAAAACAUUCACUUGUUGGUUUUGUUCUAUAGUCUAGAGGUUGAAAAAUGGGUAGGUCACCUUGUUGUGAGAAAGUUGGAUUGAAGAAAGGACCAUGGACUGCUGAGGAAGACCAAAAACUCAUAGCUUAUAUUGAAGAAUUUGGUCAUGGAAGCUGGCGUGCAUUGCCUGCAAAAGCUGGUUGGUAUUUAAUAUAUUUUUCUUCAAGAUAUAUAUGAUAGUAUAUGUUUUGUGUAUAACUUUUUUUUUUAAUAAGUUUAUUAACAUUUUUGAUAAAAAGGGCUUCAAAGAUGUGGAAAGAGCUGCAGACUAAGAUGGACUAACUACCUUCGACCAGACAUAAAAAGAGGAAAGUUUAGUUUGCAGGAAGAGCAAACUAUUAUUCAACUUCAUGCCCUUCUUGGAAACAGGUAAAUACACACUUUUACACUAGCUGAGCACAUAUAAAGCAAAAAAAUAACUAACACUCUCUCAUAUACUCCAGUUAGUUACCACAUGAAUGAUUGCUUACUAUACUACAGUACUCAUCCUAACUUGGAAAGUUGACCACUAUAGUAGUAUAUGUAGCUUUUAUAUAUGGAUGUAUAUGUUACAACAACCAAUAUGCAGUUCAUAGUCUCUCAAAAAGAACAAAAGUCCUAAUUUCAAUAUUUCACCAAAAAUCUAAAUUAUUUAAGUUAAGAGAAUUAAAUCAUUUCUCUCUCUCUUGAAUCUACACGUUACUUUUAACUAACAUACAACUGAUCUAAGUAGUAAGGUACUCAGACGCUUAAAUGAUUAUCUUCAUUUAAGUCUCUUUCAAUUUUUUCCAUUUGAAAAGAUAAACACAUAAAAAAGAUUGAAAAAAUAACAAUUAAUGGUGGUAAAACACACUUAAUAGUGGGAUGUACUAUCUAUUUUUUGUGUAUAUCUUUCUAAAUAACAUCUGAUAUAAACGAUACUUUGUAUCUAUAAUAACUUUUUAUAAUAAAAAAGGACAUGUUGCACUUAUGAGGCAGUCCUAAAGCAUGUCCGUUCAAGGGCUUGAGGAGCCAGCAUGUGUUGAUGUACCUGGUUCAUAAGUUUUGCAUUUGAUAUAACUCACUCAUCCUUACAUAUUCAACUUAUAAAAUGAAUAUGAUGUCAUUUUUUAUUACUUUUUGUUAGUGGACUUAAAUUUUUCCAUUAAUAAAUGAUUACAUAGUGAUGUAUAGAUGAUUUGAGUUAUGUUUUUGUUAUGAUUGAUUAUGUGCACACAGAUGGUCAGCAAUAGCAGCACAACUUCCAAGAAGAACAGACAAUGAAAUCAAGAACUACUGGAACACACACCUCAAGAAAAGACUAACAAGAAUGGGAAUAGACCCAACAACUCACAAACCAAAACAGGAUCAUUCACCUGGAAGUUCCACUUCUCAGUACACCAAAGACUCAGCUAACCUCAGUCACAUGGCUCAAUGGGAGAGUGCUCGUUUGGAAGCAGAAGCAAGACUUGUUAGAGAAACCAAUAAACUGAAAGUUCAAAGACAACUUGAGUUUGAAUCCUC